AAGUCAUUUUAAUAAGGUGGCAGAGUGUCCAGUCACCAGAAUAUUCUCAGUCUGGAAAAUAUUCAUGAUUAAAUAACGCAGUGCUGCAGCAACAAUUGAUGUACUCUGGAUGAAAGAAAGGUACAACACUACUAAUUUGCUGCCAGGCUUGGAAUCAGCUGCUAGACACUCAAGGACUAUGUCACUGAUGAGACUCAUCAGAUAACUCUGUUAAAAAUUAAGUUGGGAAGCUACAAACUGGCUGAAUGCUGUUAAAACACAAUACAAUUUUAUAACAUUUAAUGUGUUAAUACUAUGACACAACAGUACUUUUAGUAAAGUUUAAUACAUUGUAAAAAUCUUACACCAACCUGGGUAGUACAGUAAGCCCUUAUAGUUUAAAACAUUUAUUGCAUUAUAAUUACAUUAUUUAAAAUGUCUUUGUUAGAACAACUUGACAUUAACAUAGAGAAAAUUUUUAUUUUUUACGACAACCUGAAAUUAACCAAAACUCAUCAUCUGUUAUAACAAUCACAUUUAAUAAUAAUAAUGUAAGCCAAACAUUGAUGCAUUUUUUUGUUCCCAACACUGCAUAAUUACAAUAUUAAUGUAAAAGCAAAAGAUAAUAAAGGAAUAGAUUAUGCAAUCAUUUGUAAAACAUUUAGCAUGAUUACUGUGAUUAAAAUUAUAGUGAUACUGCAUGCAAAAUAUCCCUACGAAAAUACAUUUUAGUUCCAUUUUAUAGAA